AUAAAAGGACACUUUUUCAUGAAGUGAUCAUUGAUUGGAAGAAAUCUUGACGAAUACGUCGGCAACAGACUGCUUUGGUGAACAACACAAUGAAGUGGUUGCUUUUGGCUUUCAGCGUGGCCCUGCUGUUCACAGCUGGUGCAGCUCUGGACUGCCAUGCUUGUGUGCCCGUGCCCUUGUCUGAAGUUUGUGCGCCUGUGGUGCAACACUGUGAUGAGGGCCAAGUCUGCGGCUUGGAAAGAAAUGAGCAUGGCGCAAUCACACUUUGCGUGGAUGAGUGACAAAAGACUGUGACAGCAGAUAAACCCUGGAUCCAAAGUGCUCCAACAAUCGUAAAAUAAUAAGAG